UGGCAUUGAAAUACCGGUUACCGUCCGAUCACCGGAGUUAAGCAAUGUCGAGCCUGGUCAGUAACUAGAUCGGUGACCGCUCGGGAAUACCUGCUGUAGUAA